rnacentral:rRNA from 1 species
UACGUAGGGUGCAAGCGUUGUCCGGAAUUAUUGGGCGUAAAGAGCUCGUAGGCGGUUUGUUGCGUCGGCUGUGAAAUCCCGAGGCUCAACCUCGGGUCUGCAGUCGAUACGAGCAAACUAGAGUGUUGCAGGGGAGACUGGAAUUCCUGGUGUAGCGGUGAAAUGCGCAGAUAUCAGGAGGAACACCGGUGGCGAAGGCGGCAUUCUGGACUGUAACUGACACUGAGGAACGAAAGCCAGGGGAGCGAACGGG